AAACCAACAGGGAUUGCCUUAGUAGUGGCGAAUGAAGCGGCAAGAGCUCAAAUUUGAAAUCUGGUAUCUUCGAUAUCCGAGUUGUAAUUUGAAGAAAACAAUCUUGGAAUUGGUCCUUGUCUAUGUUCCUUGGAACAGGACGUCACAGAGGGUGAGAAUCCCGUGCGACAAGGAACUCUUUUCUAUAUAAGAUGUUUUCGAAGAGUCGAGUUGUUUGGGAAUGCAGCUCAAAGUGGGUGGUAAAUUCCAUCUAAAGCUAAAUAUUGGCGAGAGACCGAUAGCGAACAAGUACUGUGAAGGAAAGAUGAAAAGAACUUUGAAAAGAGAGUGAAAAAGUACGUGAAAUUGUUGAAAGGGAAGGGUAUUCGAUCAGACUGGUAUUUAGUUAUCAUUGCUCCUUGUGGGUGGUGCUCUAGCUUUUUACUGGGCCAACAUCAGUUUUGGUGGUAAGAUAAUCGCAGUUGAAUGUGGCUCCUUCUGGAGUGUUAUAGCUUCUGUUGAUGUUACCUACCGGGACUGAGGUCUGCGGCUUUGCCUAGGAUGUUGGCGUAAUGAUCCAAUACCGC
rnacentral:rRNA from 1 species